rnacentral:RNase_P_RNA from 2 species
CGAGUCGGCUGGGCAGUCGCUGUUUGAUCAUUGUUCUUCAGUGAUCGGGUGGAGGAAAGUCCGGGCUCCAAAGGGUAAGACGCCAGAUAACGUCUGGGGGGCGAAAGCCUACGGAAAGUGCAGCAGAGAGUAGACCGCCUAAGUCAGUACUUUAAAGUAUUGACCGGUAAGGCUGAAAGGGUGCGGUAAGAGCGCACCGCAUGACUGGUAACAGUUCAUGGCAUGGUAAACCCCGUCCGGAGCAAGACCAAAUAGGAAUCCUACAGGUGCGACCCGCACUGGAUUCGGGUAGGUUGCUUGAGGUGUCUGGCGACAGACAUCCCAGAUGAAUGACUGCACAAACCUGUUUUGCAGGUUGGACAGAACCCGGCUUACAGGCCGGCUCGCACU